UGCCUUGCAGCCUUGCAGAGCAGGAGUGC
rnacentral:piRNA from 1 species